CAAGAUUGUGCAUCACUCUUGAUUUUUUCUCUGUAUUAUCUCUCUACAAAAUCAUUGCAGUUGGUGAUUCAAUUAUAAUAAAAUUUGUUCUUGACUGGAAAUCAUAGUAAUUGCAUAGUUGAGUUGAAAGUUUUGUUGACUCUAUUAAUGUAGUCAUGAAUAGUGUAAUAACACUAUUUCCUGUCAAAUAGUAUUAUCCUAUUUGAUUAAGUAUAUAUUUUGUUGGUUACAAUUUGCUGUGAAUCUAGUUGUGUUAAGUGUUAUGAUUCAGUUUUAGCAUGUAUGUUUCUGUACUUGAGGCUAAGUGCAUGUUUAACGUUGUGGUGAAUUUGACAAAAUUAUGGUGAACCACUACAAAACCAAACAUAUACUAAAGAACUUUGGGUAUUCAUGUCCAUCUUGAUGUGCUAGAUUUUUGCUAAACUUGUAUUGGUUUUUUGUAUUAGAUUUUCUCAAUGCUUUAUUUCACCUCUUGUUAAAGAGAUAACUUAGAGCAGGAACUAUUUGCAGAGGAUGAAGAAUUUGAAUCAAAGAUUCUGUUGGAUGGUGUCUUCAACUUCUGCGGUGCCAUACAUCAAAACACAAUUUUCAUGGGAACAAAAAUAGUCUGACGACAGAAAUGGAUGACUAUACUCAUCUCCAGAAAGUUUUGGAAUUUCACGAAAAAUACUACCACGGAUCUAAAAUGAAAUUUGUUAUUAUUGGGGGAGGUAAAUUUUGUUUUAC